rnacentral:tRNA from 1 species
GCGGGAAUAGCUCAGUUGGUAGAGCACGACCUUGCCAAGGUCGGGGUCGCGAGUUCGAAUCUCGUUUUCCGCUCCA